UUCUUGUUGGUUGUGGGAGUUUUCUCUACAGUAGCUAUGGGAUCUUUUCUUGCUUCAAGGCCAGCUAUUCUCUUCUUGUCACAACCUUUUGCUGAAUGAUGAGUUCAUAAGAAGAAAGAUAGAACUAAGUUCUGAAAGAGGCUCUCCAAGCAUACAAUCUAAUCAGGAAGAAUUUAACAUAUGGUUAGAUGUUAUAGGUGGCAAAAACAAGAAGGGCCGCAUCUAUGGAUUUGGGUCUAAGGCUGAUAAUGAUAUUUGUACCCAGAGGUCUUCUCCUUCCAUUAACAGCACAAGUAUGAAUGCCAAUGUUGAAACUGAAUUGCGCAUGAGGAUAACGGAGCUUACAUAGGAGAAUCAGCAAAUCAAACAGGAGCAUCAAGAGAUGAGAGAAAAUUAUAACAAAAUCAUGUCUGCAUUGGAAGGAAUGGGAAUUAAACUAUCUGAGCCCUCUAGCAGCAAUAUAAAUUUAGGAAAUGAUAGUUGACAGUUGUUAUUAUUA